GCGGGUGUGGUGAAAUGGUAUCACGGCAGUCUCCAAAACUGCUUUUCCGGGUUCGAGCCCUGGCACCCGCG
rnacentral:tRNA from 1 species